rnacentral:rRNA from 1 species
AAUGGCUCAGGAUGAACGCUAGCUACAGGCUUAACACAUGCAAGUCGAGGGGCAGCAUUUUAGUUUGCUUGCAAACUGAAGAUGGCGACCGGCGCACGGGUGAGUAACACGUAUCCAACCUGCCGAUAACUCCGGAAUAGCCUUUCGAAAGAAAGAUUAAUACCGGAUGGCAUACGAAUAUCGCAUGAUAUUUUUAUUAAAGAAUUUCGGUUAUCGAUGGGGAUGCGUUCCAUUAGUUUGUUGGCGGGGUAACGG